rnacentral:lncRNA from 1 species
CUUCAUGUUUCAUUUGUUUAAUAGGAGUGUUUAAUUCUUUUUUUUUUUUAUUAAUUUUCCGCAUAUAUUUUGACUUUUAUUUGAGAGUAAGGGAGAAAAGUGAAAAGGAUUAAAUUUUUAAAUUAUUUGCGUAACAGAUAUUAAAUGAAUUAAUUAAUAAUUGUUUUUGUCCGUUUACACAGAUUGGCCAACAAUUGAGAUAGAUUGGAACUGAUAUCUUUGCUUACUGAAAAGAUAAGUCGUCUCCUAUGGUGUUUUAGCUGUUAACCUUUCAUCUUGGAGGCUCUUGUAGUUAAUUAAGGAACAUUAGAAGAACUCGGGAUACCUUUAAAUUAUGAAAUUAUGGAGCAUUGGUUGAAUUAGUUCUCAUUUGCCCUGCAAAGUAGUUGUGCCCAUGGUUCUAAAGAAAGCAUGAAAGUGCCUUUUUUUCAUUGGGAACGAAGACAGUGUGCUGAAAAAGGAUUUAUGACAAUGAAGUGAUUGCUGUCCCACAAAUGAGAAGGAAUUGCAGUUAAUUUUGGUGCUACUAAAACAACUGAUGCUCUUGACGUCUUCACCUUGCAACAUUAUGCAGUUAAUUUUUGCCGUAACAAUGGGAGGCAAUUGGAAAUUAAUUAAUUUGGAUGCAACCCGAACACGAAAUUAUCUGCAGUAGUAUCCCUCCUAGAUUUGGUUGAUUUGCCCAUCACACUGGUUGACAUUAGAACGCCACUUUCUACAAUUAAUUAAGGUUAUACAAUAAAUGAGAGAAUUAAUGUUAAGUAUGCUUAUACUGAAACAGCCUAUGUCUACAUGGGUGUGGUCUUUCCUGGAUUAUAUUCUUGAUUUGCUGUUUCGUCUUCAACUUGUAAUAUCAUGCAGUUAAUUUUCGACCCAUGAGCGAGUGCAACUGGAUAUUUAUUUGAAUUCCACUGAAAUAAGAAAUUCUCUGCCACAGUAUUCCUCCUUGAGUUGGUGUACUCUUCACACCUGUAAACUUUGGAGUGUUACGUUCUAUAAUGAAUUAAGGUGAGGAUACUUGAUAUAAUUAAUUUAAAUUGCUCUUUAUUGAUCUGUUUGCUACUGUAUCUGUUUCAGAUCGACGUUGGAGAAAACAAAGAUGACGCUGUAGUUGAAAUAGUUCUUUGAUUGGCUAACAAUUGAGAGAGAUUGGAGCUGAUAUCUUUGCUUACUGAAAAGAUAAGUCGGCUCCUAUGGUGUUUUAGCUGUUAACCUUUCAUCUUAGAGGCUCUUGUAGUUAAUUAAGGAACAUUAGAAGAACUCGGGAUACCUUUAAAUUAUGAAAUUAUGGAGCAUUGGUUGAAUUAGUUCUCAUUUGCCCUGCAAAGUAGUUGUGCCCAUGGUUCUAAAGAAAGCAUGAAAGUGCCUUUUUUUCAUUGGGAACGAAGACAGUGUGCUGAAAAAGGAUUUAUGACAAUGAAGUGAUUGUUGUCCCACAAGUGAGAAGGAAUUGCAGUUAAUUUUGGUGCUACUAAAACAACCGAUACUUUUUACGGCUUCACCUUGCAACAUUAUGCAGUUAAUUUUUGCCGUAACAAUGGGAGGAAAUUGGAAAUUAAUUAAUUUGGAAGCAACCGAAAAAACAAAUUAUAUGCAGUGGUAUCGCUUCUAGAUUUGGUUGGUUUUGCUCAUCACACUAGUAGACGUUAGAACGCCUCUCACUACAAUUAAUUAUGGUUAUGCAAUAAAUGAGUGAGAAUUAAUGUGCAGUUUGGUUAUACUGAAACAGCCCAAGUCUGCAAGGGUGUGGUCUUUCCUGGAUUAUAUUCUUGAUUUGCUGUUUCGUCUUCGCCUUGUAACAUCAUGCAGUUAAUUUUCAACCCAUGAGUGAGAACAACUGGAUAUUUAUUUGAAUUCCACUGAAAUAAGAAAUUCUCUGCUACAGUAUUCCUCCUUGAGUUGGUUUACUUUUCACACCUGUAAACUUUGGAGUGUUACGUUCUAUAAUCAAUUAAGGUGAGGAUACUUGAUAUAAUUAAUUUUAAUUGCUCUUUAUUGAUCUGUUUGCCACCGUAUCUGUUUCAGAUCCACGUUGGAGAAGACAAAGAUGACCCAGAAGUUGAAAUAGUUGUUUGGUUUGAUUGAUUCAUAUUCUAUUAUUAUUCAUCGUAUUUGACCACAGCAUCAAUUAAAUUGACAAAACUUUUAAAGUUUAUAUCUUGACACAGACAUCAGGUGAACACGUCGCCAUUUUUAAUAUUUUGUUAUUUUAUUCGUUUUUGACUGGUUUUUUAUUACGUGUUUUUGUUUUACUUCAUGCUUCAUUUGUUUAG